rnacentral:rRNA from 1 species
UAAUACGAAGGGGGCUAGCGUUGUUCGGAAUUACUGGGCGUAAAGCGCACGUAGGCGGAUUGUUAAGUGAGGGGUGAAAUCCCAGGGCUCAACCCUGGAACUGCCUUUCAUACUGGCAAUCUUGAGUUCGAGAGAGGUGAGUGGAAUUCCGAGUGUAGAGGUGAAAUUCGUAGAUAUUCGGAGGAACACCAGUGGCGAAGGCGGCUCACUGGCUCGAUACUGACGCUGAGGUGCGAAAGCGUGGGGAGCAAACAGG